rnacentral:rRNA from 1 species
GACGAACGCUGGCGGCGUGCUUAACACAUGCAAGUCGAACGAAGAGCGAUGGACGCUUGCUUCUCUCAAUCUUAGUGGCGAACGGGUGAGUAACGCGUAAUCAACCUGCCCUUCAGAGGGGGACAACAGUUGGAAACGACUGCUAAUACCGCAUACGAUCUAAUCUCGGCAUCGAGGAUAGAUGAAAGGUGGCCUCUACAUGUAAGCUCUCACUGAAGGAGGGGAUUGCGUCUGAUUAGCUAGUUGGAGGGGUAACGGCCCACCAAGGCGAUGAUCAGUAGCCGGUCUGAGAGGAUGAACGGCCACAUUGGGACUGAGACACGGCCCAGACUCCUACGGGAGGCAGCAGUGGGGAAUCUUCCGCAAUGGACGAAAGUCUGACGGAGCAACGCCGCGGGAGUGAUGACGGCCGUCGGGUUGUAAAGCUCUGUUAAUCGGGACGAAAGGCCUUCUUGCGAAUAGUGAGAAGGAUUGACGGUACCGGAAUAGAAAGCCACGGCUAACUACGUG